CAGGGAGAGAAAACUCUCAAAAAUGUAAGAUGAAGAGCUACUUAGUAUUCUUGAGAAAUGAACGGAAGGUAAAUGAGGUUGGAGGUUAGUGAAUGAAAGGGAGAGUGGCAAGAUCUCACUGUGAAAUAAAUCUAUUAGUUAUUCCAGGUGUUAACUGGAAUAUCAUGUGGGACUGGGAAAAGCAUGUGUGAUGUCAUAAUAAAGGAUGGGUAUUUUAUUCUAAAUGCUAAGGUAAGACAUUACAGUUUUUGUUUUAGGUAUGAGCCUUGCAAGAAGACAUACAUAUUUUGCUGAUUGCCAAGGGGAUAAUGCAUUGGGUAUAAGAAGAAGGAAAGUAGAGGAACCAAUUAAGAAAUAUUUACUACAAUUAAGAAGAGAUGAUAAUAACUUCGACCAAGGUGGAGGCUAUGAAGAUGGAGCAAUGCGAAUACAUGGAGACAUGUUUUUGAUGUAGACUCAGCAAGAAAUUCUAAUAUAUUAGAUUUUAUGUUUUGGGAGAAAAAGAGACAUCUCCAAGAUUAUGGCUUGAAUAGAUUGGGACUAAUAGUGAAACUUGAGAGUGAUCACAUAUGGAGAUGAAAGAUUGAAAGACCUCUCGCUGAACAUAAUAUAGAAGGUCUAAAAUACUCUCAAGUCCCCUCCAUCUCAAAAUGACAGCAGUAACAGUGAAAACUAAACAUAGCUGUACCAAGGGCCUGUGUAUCUUACUUCGCCCUCCUUGUGAGUUGCCACUUCCUGUUCAUCCUCCUAUCAACGUGAUAUAAACACCAAAAUAGACCAAAGUAAUUAUCUGGGGAAUGUCCAGAGGGUGUUUACCUUCAGAAAAUUAACAGCUUUGAGACUAAAUCGAUGACCCAGCAAGAAGGUUCUCAUCAGUGGCUGACCAGAUGCCAGAAACAUGCCAUUGGAGUGCCCAGCCUUCAGAACAGAAACAUGGCUGUAUAAGUAGAAAACUUUGAAGAAUUUGCUGUAAGUAACAAAUAUGUUUAGAAAGGUUACAGACUACAAUAUCUAAUUUAGAAGUCCUUUGUAUUUCUACAUAUUAGUAAUAAAUAAUUGGAAUUUAAAAUUUAUAAAAAGUACUAUUAUAAUAGUACUAUCUAAAAUGAA
rnacentral:lncRNA from 10 species